GUAGGUGAACCUGCGGAAGGAUCAUUAACACGUUCCACGUAUCAACCCGAGAACUCGUUUACAAUCCUGAUUAAGCUUCAGUAGUCCUGCAAACUCCGAUUUCCAGUUCCGCAAACCUCGAUAAGGAAACAGGCUGUAUAAGCCUGGCGGCUGGCGGAAUUAUGUCCUCUUGUGCAUUUUCAUUAAUGCUCUCGAGGGAGGCUCUGAAUGUCUGGUCAUGUUUCUAUUCCUUAUCGAUUUUUUACAAUUAUUUACCCCUUUACGAAACGUACUAAUUUACAUUUCUUUCUUUAGAAAUUGGAGCUCUGUAAGUGUGUGUGUUUAGUCUGGCUCUCGGUGCAAGCCGAUUGCUGACAAUGAACAUUCACAUGUCGUGCUCUCAACCUAAGAAAAACCUUAAGAACAACUCUUAACAACGGAUAUCUUGGCUCUC
rnacentral:misc_RNA from 1 species